rnacentral:rRNA from 1 species
GGAUACGGCCAUACUGCGCCCAAAGCACCGCUUCCCAUCCGAACAGCGAAGUUAAGUUGCGCCAGGCGGUGUUAGUACUGGGGUGGGCGACCACCCGGGAAUCCACCGUGCCGUAUCCU